rnacentral:rRNA from 1 species
GGGUCAGUUUGUUGGUCGUGCCACCGGUACGUACUGGUCUCACUGAUUCCUCCUUCCUGAAUAACCGUAAUGCCAUUUAUUUGGUGUUGCGGGGAAACAGGACUGUUACUUUGAAAAAAUUAGAGUGUUUAAAGCAAGCUAACGCUUGAAUACAUUAGCAUGGAAUAAUGAAAUAGGACGAUCGAUCCUAUUUUGUUGGUUUCUAGGAUUGACGUA